rnacentral:rRNA from 1 species
UACGGAGGGAGCUAGCGUUGUUCGGAAUUACUGGGCGUAAAGCGUACGUAGGCGGCUUUGUAAGUUAGAGGUGAAAGCCCGGGGCUCAACUCCGGAACUGCCUUUAAGACUGCAUCGCUUGAAUCCAGGAGAGGUGAGUGGAAUUCCGAGUGUAGAGGUGAAAUUCGUAGAUAUUCGGAAGAACACCAGUGGCGAAGGCGGCUCACUGGACUGGUAUUGACGCUGAGGUGCGGAAGCGUGGGGAGCAAACAGG